rnacentral:lncRNA from 1 species
CUCUUUCUCUUGGAGACAGAGAUGCUCUGAACAACUGUGGACCUUGUGCUUAUGUCUUUUCCCUUCUCUUUCUCUUGGAGACAGAGAUGUAACCCAUUGCUCCACUAUGUUGGAACCAGAAUGUCCAAAUUAGCACUUGAGGUUCUGCAUGAAAGAGGAAAUAGCAGAAAGCGGGGAUAGAGUCAUAGACCACACGGGCAGGACGUCCCUUUGACCUAGGAGGGCCCUGGGCAGCUGGGCACUGGGUGGUUAGAGCAGGGGUGGAGUCAUAGACCACACGGGCAGGACGUCCCUUUGACCUAGGAGGGCCCUGGGCAGCUGGGCACUGGGUGGUUAGAGCAGGGGUGGAGUCAGACCACACGGGCAGGACGUCCCUUUGAUCUAGGAGGGCUCUGGGCAGCUGGGCACUGGGUGGUUAGAGCAGGGGUGGAGUCAUAGACCACACGGGCAGGGCAUCCCUUUGAUCUAGGAGGGCCCUGGGCAGCUGGGCACUGGGUGGUUAGGUGGUUGUUCUGAUGGUCAAGAGGGAGAACAGCAUGAGCCCUGCCCCAGGCAGAGGCACGGGCUACAUGAGGACCUCCAGGGGGUGUUGCUCACUCCUAUCAGGUAGCAGGGUCACUCCUGAAAGUUCUAGAACCAUGACUUAGCCAGCUGCAUCAUGUC